GACGAACGCUGGCGGCGUGCCUAAUACAUGCAAGUCGAGCGGACUGAUUAAGAGCUUGCUCUUAUGACGUUAGCGGCGGACGGGUGAGUAACACGUGGGCAACCUGCCCUGUAGAUCGGGAUAACACCGAGAAAUCGGUGCUAAUACCGGGUAAUAUCUGAGAUCACAUGAUCUUAGGUUAAAAGAUGGCUCCGGCUAUCACUACAGGAUGGGCCCGCGGCGCAUUAGCUAGUUGGUAAGGUAAUGGCUUACCAAGGCGACGAUGCGUAGCCGACCUGAGAGGGUGAUCGGACACACUGGGACUGAGACACGGCCCAGACUCCUACGGGAGGCAGCAGUAGGGAAUCUUCCGCAAUGGACGAAAGUCUGACGGAGCAACGCCGCGCGAGUGAUGAAGGGGUUCGGCUCGUAAAGCUCUGUUGUUAGGGAAGAAACAGUACCGAACGAACUAGGUCGGUACCUUGACGGUACCUAACCAGAAAGCCACGGCUAACUACGUG
rnacentral:rRNA from 1 species